rnacentral:lncRNA from 10 species
UGCCAGGACCUUGCAACAAACACAAGGUGCUCAGUAAGUGCUGAGUCCUGGGAUGAAGAAUUCUGAAGCGGGACCACUACCAGGGCCUGCCCCCUGCCCACAGCCCUCCCAGGCCGGGCAGGGCAAGUUCUGGAGGGCCGGUGGCGGCAUACACUGAAGGCUGUGUGACGUUUCUAUUUCUCAAGGCAGUAACAGCAACCGUGAACCUCAGAGGCAGCCAAGGGCUGGAGUGCAAUGGCACCAUCGCGGCUCACUGCAACCUCCACCUCCUGGGUUCAAGCGAUUCUCCUGCCUCAGCCUCCCGAGUAGCUGGGAUUACAGGUGCCCACCACCACGCCCAGCUAAUUUGUGUAUUUUUAGUAGAGACGGGUUUCACCAUGCUGGCCUCGAACUCCUGACUUCAGGUGAUCCACCUGCCUCGGCCUCCCAAAGUGCCGGGAUUACAGGUGUGAGCCACUGUGCCUGGCAUCCUUCUUUUUUUCUUCUGAAAACAACACUAUAAUGGCCAUCCUCUCCUGGUAUAUAAAUCUCUGCACACAUACUUGAGUGAUUUAAGAAUUAAUUGCCAGCCUCAGGAUGGCCCCCAAUGAUCCUUGCUUCCGUAUUCAUAACCAGCAUAGUCUCCCUUCCCAGUAAAUCAGGGAGACUGCAUGUGGCCAGUAAAUUCCAGCAGAGGUAGAUGGUGUGUGACGUCUAAGGCUGGGUCAUAAAGCACACUGUGGCUUCAGACUUUCCCUUCUGGACUGCUCAUUUUAGGGGAAGCCAGCCACCAUGUCAUAAGGACAAAGCAGCCCUGAGGAGAACCAAUCCCUUGGGGAGGAACUCGGCCCCCAGUCAGCAGCCAAUACCAACUUGCCCAUGUGUGAGUUAGUCACCUUGAAAGUGGAUCUGCUGUCCCAGCCAAGCCUUCAGAUGAGACCACAGCUCUGGCCAACACCUGACUGCAGCCUCAUGAGAGACCCAGAGAACCAUCCUGUUGAGUCUCUCUUGAAUUCUUGGCCCAUAGAAAUUGCUAGUGAUAGUAAAUUAUUCUUGUUUUUUAAACCACUAAGUUUUAGGUUAAUUUAUUACACAGCAGGAAUGAUAACUUAAAUGGUGACUAUUUUGGUCAAAAGAGGCCAGGCUCUGCUACAGUAUCAAAUAAACCACACUUGAUGGCUAAUACAAUAAGGUUUAUUUCAUACUCACUUACACCUGAUGUGGGUAGGAGGGCUCUCCUGCUUGGCACGCAAGUCCCAGGGAUGCAGAGUAUUUUCACCUAGAAGCAGGUCACUUCUUCUCACAUUCAGGUGGUGAGAAAGCUGUGUUAUCACACCCAGGAGCAUGGAGCCAAGAAACAUAGUUUAGUUGUAUGCCCCAGAAUAUAACUAAAUAAACGUUUAGUAUUGCCUCUGCCACAGUGAAUCAAGAGAAAUGAAAGUGACUACUAUGUAUUUGAAAAGUAAAAAUUCCCAGAAGUACAGAAAUGCAUAUUGAAACUGAUUCAUGAUUUUUCACUUCCUGUGGAAUAAACAAAACUCCCUUUUUGAAAUCUGAGAAUAUCCAAACUUCCACAAUUGCUACAGGAUAAACACUUCCAUAUACAGCUGGUAGGAAUAAGAAUAGGCUUGACUUUUCCAGAUGAUAAAGUUGCAAGAUUUAUCCACAGCCUUUAAAAUAUUUAUAUUCCUUGACCCAAAUAAUUUUGCUUCUGGGAAUCUAUUAUAGGGAGAUAUAUAUAUAUAUAUAUAUAUAUAUAUUUUUUUUUUUUUUUUUUUUUUUGAGACGGAGUCUUGCAUGUCACCCAGGCU